rnacentral:rRNA from 1 species
AUACAGAGGGUGCAAGCGUUAAUCGGAAUUACUGGGCGUAAAGGGCGCGUAGGUUGUGAGUUUAGUCAGAUGUGAAAUUUCCGGGCUUAACCUGGAAAGGUCAUCUGAUACUGGCUGACUAGAGUACAGUAGAGGGAAGUGGAAUUUCCGGUGUAGCGGUGAAAUGCGUAGAUAUCGGAAGGAACAUCAGUGGCGAAGGCGACUUCCUGGACUGAUACUGACACUGAGGCGCGAAAGCGUGGGUAGCGAACAGGAUUGGAAACCCCAGUAGUCC